GUCACCAUCACCAGGUGGGGGUUUUGUCUGCUUUGUUCACUGUUGCACACCCAGCCCCCAGCACAGGCCCUGCCUGGAGUAGGCGCCCAGGAAACACUCACGAAUGAGGAAGGAAUGAACAUUUUUUGCAGAUGAGGGGACUCAGGGCCCUGGACUCGCAGUCCAGUGCUCUUGCUGCUGACUCGCUUCAGCUCUGGAGCGGCAGCUGCCUUUGCCCAGCCUGUGCCCCCCGUGCGGCGGGGCUGGAGAUGGAGAAGAUGGCAGAGGUAAAGGCUUCCAGGAGUGUGGGCAGCACGUGUGACCCCAGGAAGCCAUGCUUCUCACUGGACCUAGGCGGACCCAUUAUUUGGCAGAAAAAGCCCUCUUCACCAUUUUCCUUCAGGCUGUGGAGGCCAGGACAGCUGACAGUGAGGGUGGCUGUGUCACUCAUGGCUUCACAGGGGCGCAGUCCGCGAGAUGAGGCGGCCAGACCAGUGUCUACAGCACAGGGUCUGCAGCUGCCAGGCAGUAAUUAA
rnacentral:lncRNA from 1 species